GCAGUAAUAGCUCAGUGGCAGAAUGCAUACUUAGCACGCAUGAGGUCCUGGGUUCAAUCCCCAGUAUCUUCA
rnacentral:tRNA from 1 species